UUCGAAGCCAGGUAUAUUUACCUUGCCAGACGCACCAGAUCCAUGCGUCAUGCGCCCGACUGUCCAGACAGCCUACGGAAGCGAGUGAGGCCGGCUGCGCAUGUGAAGUUUGCCUGUUAAGUGACCCGUCUCUUUUGUAUGUAGCCUGUUUAUUUGCCUACCGGCGUUAUCUCGCGUUAAUUCUGCACUUCGACGCGGCAGCACAGCAUUUUUGCGCCAAGGAUGAAUAACAAGCCUCUCAUGACGCUCAUCCAUUCUUGUUUUCCACAGAUCGUCCUGCAGAAGUCAGCUGAACGAGGGCCUGCGGCAACUACUUCGUCAGGCAAACAGGAUGAUCCGGAACUGUCACUACUCACAUCUGCCUUUGUCCCGGCAACUACCGGAAGGCUGCAACUUGGUCCGGGAAUCGAAGCAGCACAAUGCUAUUCGCCGAGCCAUGGUGACGCAUGCAUUUGCAUGACGUUCAAGAGACCACACGUCCC